rnacentral:rRNA from 1 species
CAGUAGCCGCGGGAAAACGUAGGUGGCAAGCGUUGUUCGGAAUUAUUGGGCGUAAAGGGCUCGCAGGCGGUUUCUUAAGUCUGAUGUGAAAGCCCCCGGCUCAACCGGGGAGGGUCAUUGGAAACUGGGAAAUUUGAGUGCAGAAGAGGAGAGUGGAAUUCCACGUGUAGCGGUGAAAUGCGUAGAGAUGUGGAGGAACACCAGUGGCGAAGGCGACUCUCUGGUCUGUAACUGACGCUGAGGAGCGAAAGCGUGGGGAGCGAACAGGAUUAGAUACCCCAGUAGUCCCUGUCUCUUAUAC